UAAACCUGAGAAACCCAAAAGAUCGAAUGGGGAGAUUCAUCGUCAACAUCGCUGGCUCCCGUUGGUGCGCGAUGCCCCGAAUGGGCCCUUGUGGUUCCACGGCGAGGGCACGCCACCUUCGGCUUGAAUGUUCCGGUGGCGUAGUCGUGCACUUCUCCCCUAGUAGAACGUCGCGACCCGUUGUGUGUCGGUCUACGGCCCGAGAGGGCGCCUGUCGCGUCGCCUUGCGCGCACUCGUCAGACCCUCGGUCGCCCGGCCGGCUACACGACGGAACUCGCACGGUAUCGGGCCGCAACCAAUCCAUUCUCGAAUGGCGUUUGCGUCAGGUCCGCCGCAAGCUCGGUUAGUUCUUACCCGGUGGUACGGACCUCGCGCCGUCCCCGGGCCUAACCAGCUGUUAGCCAGGCGGUGUCCUCGGACUGGCCAAGCUUCGAAUUACCGGUCGGCGACGCUAUUGCUUUGGGUACUCUCAGGACCCGUCUUGAAACACGGACCAAGGAGUCUAACAUGUGCGCGAGUCAUUGGGAUGCACAAACCUAAAGGCGAAAUGAAAGUGAAGGUCGUCCUUAGCGUCGACCGAGGGAGGAUGGGCCGCGUAACCCAGGCGGCCUCGCACUCCCGGGGCGUCUCGUUCUCAUCGCGAGAAGAGGCGCACCCAGAGCGUACACGUUGGGACCCGAAAGAUGGUGAACUAUGCCUGGUCAGGACGAAGUCAGGGGAAACCCUGAUGGAGGUCCGUAGCGAUUCUGACGUGCAAAUCGAUCGUCGGAACUGGGUAUAGGGGCGAAAGACUAAUCGAACCAUCUAGUAGCUGGUUCCCUCCGAAGUUUCCCUCAGGAUAGCUGGCACUCGUUUGAACGCGUGCGAGUCUCAUCUGGUAAAGCGAAUGAUUAGAGGCCUUGGGGCCGAAACGACCUCAACCUAUUCUCAAACUUUAAAUGGGUGAGAUCUCUGGCUUGCUUGAACAGUGAAGCCAUGAGAUUUUGGAUCAGAGUGCCAAGUGGGCCAAUUUUGGUAAGCAGAACUGGCGCUGUGGGAUGAACCAAACGCAGAGUUAAGGCGCCUAAGUCGACGCUUAUGGGAUACCAUGAAAGGCGU
rnacentral:rRNA from 1 species